GAUUUGAAUCUUAUCAGUCUUCUUUUAUUCCAUAACCCAGUCGGGUUAUGGGUUAUGGAAUAAAAGAAGAUUGAUAAGAUUCAAAUC